rnacentral:rRNA from 1 species
GAUGAACGCUGGCGGCGUGCCUAAUACAUGCAAGUCGAGCGAACAGAUAAGGAGCUUGCUCCUUUGACGUUAGCGGCGGACGGGUGAGUAACACGUGGGUAACCUACCUAUAAGACUGGGAUAACUUCGGGAAACCGGAGCUAAUACCGGAUAACAUUUGGAACCGCAUGGUUCUAAAGUGAAAGAUGGUUUUGCUAUCACUUAUAGAUGGACCCGCGCCGUAUUAGCUAGUUGGUAAGGUAACGGCUUACCAAGGCAACGAUACGUAGCCGACCUGAGAGGGUGAUCGGCCACACUGGAACUGAGACACGGUCCAGACUCCUACGGGAGGCAGCAGUAGGGAAUCUUCCGCAAUGGGCGAAAGCCUGACGGAGCAACACCGCGUGAGUGAUGAAGGGUUUCGGCUCGUAAAACUCUGUUAUUAGGGAAGAACAAACGUGUAAGUAACUGUGCACGUCUUGACGGUACCUAAUCAGAAAGCCACGGCUAACUACGUG